rnacentral:rRNA from 1 species
AUUGAACGCUGGCGGCAUGCCUUACACAUGCAAGUCGAACGGUAACAGGUCUUCGGAUGCUGACGAGUGGCGAACGGGUGAGUGAUACAUCGGAACGUGCCUAGUAGUGGGGGAUAACUACCCGAAAGAGUGGCUAAUACCGCAUGAGAUCAACGGAUGAAAGCAGGGGAUCGCAAGACCUGGUGCUACUAGAGCGGCCGAUGGCAGAUGAGGUAGUUGGUGGGAUAAAAGCUUACCAAGCCGACGAUCUGUAGCUGGUCUGAGAGGACGAUCAGCCACACUGGGACUGAGACACGGCCCAGACUCCUACGGGAGGCAGCAGUGGGGAAUUUUGGACAAUGGGCGCAAGCCUGAUCCAGCAAUGCCGCGUGCAGGAUGAAGGCCUUCGGGUUGUAAACUGCUUUUGUACGGAACGAAAAGCCCCGGGUUAAUACCCUGGGGUCAUGACGGUACCGUAAGAAUAAGCACCGGCUAACUACGUGCCAGCCGCCGCCGUAA